GCAAGCGUUAAUCGGAAUUACUGGGCGUAAAGCGCACGCAGGCGGUUUGUUAAGUCAGAUGUGAAAUCCCCGCGCUUAACGUGGGAACUGCAUUUGAAACUGGCAAGCUAGAGUCUUGUAGAGGGGGGUAGAUUUCCAGGUGUAGCGGUGAAAUGCGUAGAGAUCUGGAGGAAUACCGGGGGCGAAGGCGGCCCCCUGGACAAAGACUGACGCUCAGGUGCGAAAGCGUGGGGAGCAAACAGGAUUAGAUACCCAGGUAGUCCACGCUGUAAACGAUGUCGACUUGGAGGUUGUGCCCUUGAGGCGUGGCUUCCGGAGCUAACGCGUUAAGUCGACCGCCUGGGGAGUACGGCCGCAAGGUUAAAACUCAAAUGAAUUGACGGGGGCCCGCACAAGCGGUGGAGCAUGUGGUUUAAUUCGAUGCAACGCGAAGAACCUUACCUACUCUUGACAUCCACGGAAUUCGCCAGAGAUGGCUUAGUGCCUUCGGGAACCGUGAGACAGGUGCUGCAUGGCUGUCGUCAGCUCGUGUUGUGAAAUGUUGGGUUAAGUCCCGCAACGAGCGCAACCCUUAUCCUUUGUUGCCAGCACGUAAUGGUGGGUACUCAAAGGAGACUGCCGGUGAUAAACCGGAGGAAGGUGGGGAUGACGUCAAGUCAUCAUGGCCCUUACGAGUAGGGCUACACACGUGCUACAAUGGCAUAUACAAAGAGAAGCGAACUCGCGAGAGCAAGCGGACCUCAUAAAGUAUGUCGUAGUCCGGAUUGGAGUCUGCAACUCGACUCCAUGAAGUCGGAAUCGCUAGUAAUCGUAGAUCAGAAUGCUACGGUGAAUACGUUCCCGGGCCUUGUACACACCGCCCGUCACACCAUGGGAGUGGGUUGCAAAAGAAGUAGGUAGCUUAACCUUCGGGAGGGCGCUUACCACUUUGUGAUUCAU
rnacentral:rRNA from 1 species